rnacentral:rRNA from 1 species
GAUGAACGCUGGCGGCGUGCCUAAUACAUGCAAGUCGAGCGAACAGACGAGGAGCUUGCUCCUCUGACGUUAGCGGCGGACGGGUGAGUAACACGUGGAUAACCUACCUAUAAGACUGGGAUAACUUCGGGAAACCGGAGCUAAUACCGGAUAAUAUAUUGAACCGCAUGGUUCAAUAGUGAAAGACGGUUUUGCUGUCACUUAUAGAUGGAUCCGCGCCGCAUUAGCUAGUCGGUAAGGUAACGGCUUACCAAGGCAACGAUGCGUAGCCGACCUGAGAGGGUGAUCGGCCACACUGGAACUGAGACACGGUCCAGACUCCUACGGGAGGCAGCAGUAGGGAAUCUUCCGCAAUGGGCUAAAUCCUGACGGAGCAACGCCGCGUGAGUGAUGAAGGUCUUCGGAUCGUAAAACUCUGUUAUUAGGGAAGAACAAAUGUGUAAGUAACUAUGCACGUCUUGACGGUACCUAAUCAGAAAGCCACGGCUAACUACGUG